GCCUCAGUAACGGCGAGUGAAGCGGCAACAGCUCAAAUUUGAAAUCUGGCCGUUCGGCGGUCCGAGUUGUAAUUUGUAGAGGAUGCUUCGGGUGCGGCGCCGGUCUAAGUUCCUUGGAACAGGACGUCAGAGAGGGUGAGAAUCCCGUAUGUGACCGGUGACCCAGCCCGUGUGAAGCUCCUUCGACGAGUCGAGUUGUUUGGGAAUGCAGCUCUAAAUGGGUGGUAAAUUUCAUCUAAAGCUAAAUACCGGCCAGAGACCGAUAGCGCACAAGUAGAGUGAUCGAAAGAUGAAAAGCACUUUGGAAAGAGAGUUAAAAAGUACGUGAAAUUGUUGAAAGGGAAGCGCUUGUGACCAGACUUGCUCACGGGCGAUCAGCCGUCCUUCUGGGCGGUGCACUCGCCCGUGAUCAGGCCAGCAUCGGUUCGGGCGGCCGGAUAACGGCCCCGGGAAUGUGGCUCCCCUCGGGGAGUGUUAUAGCCCGGGGCGCAAUGCGGCCCGCCGGGACCGAGGACCGCGCUUCGGCUAGGAUGCUGGCGUAAUGGUCGUAAGCGACCCGUCUUGAAACACGGACCAAGGAGUCUAACAUCUGUGCGAGUGUUUGGGUGUCAAACCCAUGCGCGGAAUGAAAGUGAACGGAGGUGGGAACCCUUCAGGGUGCACCAUCGACCGAUCCUGAUGUCUUCGGAUGGAUUUGAGUAAGAGCAUAGCUGUUGGGACCCGAAAGAUGGUGAACUAUGCCUGAAUAGGGUGAAGCCAGAGGAAACUCUGGUGGAGGCUCGCAGCGGUUCUGACGUGCAAAUCGAUCGUCAAAUUUGGGUAUAGGGGCGAAAGACUAAUCGAACCAUCUAGUAGCUGGUUCCUGCUGAAGUUUCCCUCAGGAUAGCAG
rnacentral:rRNA from 1 species